rnacentral:rRNA from 1 species
GUGGGGAAUCUUGCGCAAUGGGGGAAACCCUGACGCAGCAACGCCGCGUGGGUGAUGAAGGCCCUCGGGUCGUAAAGCCCUGUCAGGUGGGAAGAAACCCAUCGGUGCAAACAGCACCGGUGAUUGACGGUACCACCGGAGGAAGCACCGGCUAACUCCGUGCCAGCAGCCGCGGUAAUACGGAGGGUGCUAGCGUUGUUCGGAAUUACUGGGCGUAAAGCGCGUGUAGGCGGUCGGGUAAGUCAGAUGUGAAAUCCCCCGGCUUAACUGGGGAACUGCAUUUGAAACUGCCUGGCUCGAGUUCGGGAGAGGAGAGUGGAAUUCCUGGUGUAGAGGUGAAAUUCGUAGAUAUCAGGAGGAACACCGGUGGCGAAGGCGGCUCUCUGGCCCGACACUGACGCUGAGACGCGAAAGCGUGGGGAGCAAACAGGAUUAGAAACCCUUGUAGUCC